rnacentral:rRNA from 1 species
UUAGUGGCGAACGGUCGCGUAACACGUAAGGAACCUGCCCUAGGAGUGGGGGAUAACCGCCCGAAAGGGUUGCUAAUACCGCAUUGUAACCAGAGUCGGCAUCGAUUUUGGUUUAAAGCUUUAUGCGCUUUAGGAUGGUCUUGCGGCCUAUCAGCUUGUUGGUGGGGUAACGGCCUACCAAGGCUUUGACGGGUAGCUGGUCUGAGAGGACGAUCAGCCGGAUUGGGACUGAGAUACGGCCCAG